rnacentral:rRNA from 1 species
GACGAACGCUGGCGGCGUGCUUAACACAUGCAAGUCGAACGGAAAGGCCCUGCUUUUGUGGGGUGCUCGAGUGGCGAACGGGUGAGUAACACGUGAGUAACCUGCCCUUGACUUUGGGAUAACUUCAGGAAACUGGGGCUAAUACCGGAUAGGAGCUCCUGCUGCAUGGUGGGGGUUGGAGAGUUUCGGCGGUUGGGGAUGGACUCGCGGCUUAUCAGCUUGUUGGUGGGGUAGUGGCUUACCAAGGCUUUGACGGGUAGCCGGCCUGAGAGGGUGACCGGCCACAUUGGGACUGAGAUACGGCCCAGACUCCUACGGGAGGCAGCAGUGGGGAAUAUUGCACAAUGGGCGGAAGCCUGAUGCAGCAACGCCGCGUGCGGGAUGACGGCCUUCGGGUUGUAAACCGCUUUCGCCUGUGACGAAGCGUGAGUGACGGUAAUGGGUAAAGAAGCACCGGCUAACUACGUGCCAGCAGCCGCGGUGAUACGUAGGGUGCGAGCGUUGUCCGGAUUUAUUGGGCGUAAAGGGCUCGUAGGUGGUUGAUCGCGUCGGAAGUGUAAUCUUGGGGCUUAACCCUGAGCGUGCUUUCGAUACGGGUUGACUUGAGGAAGGUAGGGGAGAAUGGAAUUCCUGGUGGAGCGGUGGAAUGCGCAGAUAUCAGGAGGAACACCAGUGGCGAAGGCGGUUCUCUGGGCCUUUCCUGACGCUGAGGAGCGAAAGCGUGGGGAGCGAACAGGCUUAGAUACCCUGGUAGUCCACGCUGUAAACGGUGGGUACUAGGUGUGGGGUCCAUUCCACGGGUUCCGUGCCGUAGCUAGCGCUUUAAGUACCCCGCCUGGGGAGUACGGCCGCAAGGCUAAAACUCAAAGGAAUUGACGGGGCCCCGCACAAGCGGCGGAGCAUGCGGAUUAAUUCGAUGCAACGCGUAGAACCUUACCUGGGUUUGACAUGGAUCGGGAGUGCUCAGAGAUGGGUGUGCCUCUUUUGGGGUCGGUUCACAGGUGGUGCAUGGCUGUCGUCAGCUCGUGUCGUGAGAUGUUGGGUUAAGUCCCGCAACGAGCGCAACCCUUGUUCACUGUUGCCAGCACGUUAUGGUGGGGACUCAGUGGAGACCGCCGGGGUCAACUCGGAGGAAGGUGGGGAUGACGUCAAGUCAUCAUGCCCCUUAUGUCCAGGGCUUCACGCAUGCUACAAUGGCUGGUACAGAGAGUGGCGAGCCUGUGAGGGUGAGCGAAUCUCGGAAAGCCGGUCUCAGUUCGGAUUGGGGUCUGCAACUCGACCUCAUGAAGUCGGAGUCGCUAGUAAUCGCAGAUCAGCAACGCUGCGGUGAAUACGUUCCCGGG